UAGAAGUUGUCCUCACAUAUUUAGCUCCCUCAUAUAUCCUUCUUUCUCCUCCACCUAGUACUGAAGUGCUCAGUUGAACCUUGAAGGGAAGCCCAUUCUGAGGAGCCGUCACCCUGCUAUUGGCUUGCUUCUGGGGACAGCCCUAGGUGAGAGCUGCUAGUGUGAGCUGUGGCAGGUGCUGCUGUGCCUCGUCCCUGGUUCAUAUCCCUGGUCCAGGCUCAGACUCAGCAACAGAGCCUGACCCUGGGUCCUGGUUUACACUAGAAUAUGAGGCAUUUGACAAGACUGACUGUGCUCCUGAUCUUGGGUACUUUGAGUCUUGCUAAGACCAUCCAGCCCAUCUUCAUUGACUCAUAUGAAGGACAAGAAGUGAACAUAUCCUGUAACCACACCAACAUUGCUACAGAUGACUAUAUCUUCUGGUACCGACAGUUCCCCAACCAGGGACCACAAUUUGUCAUUCAAGGAUAUAAGACAAACAUAGCAAAUGAAGUGGCAUCUCUGUUUAUCCCUACUGAGAGGAAGUCCAGCACCCUGAGCCUGCCCUGCGCUGCCCUGAAAGACGCUGCUGUGUAUUACUGCAUCGGGUGAGAGGGAUGAAAGUGGAGCAGAGCCCUUCAGCCCUGAGCCUCCAGGAAGGAACCAGC